CCUACGGGGGGCAGCAGUGAGGAAUAUUGGUCAAUGGGCGCGAGCCUGAACCAGCCAAGUAGCGUGAGUGAGGAAGUAUUUCGGUAUGUAAAGCUCUAUCAGCAGGGAAGAAAGAAAUGACGGUACCUGACUAAGAAGCCCCGGCUAACUACGUGCCAGCAGCCGCGGUAAUACGUAGGGGGCAAGCGUUAUCCGGAUUUACUGGGUGUAAAGGGAGCGUAGACGGCGAUGCAAGUCUGAAGUGAAAGGCGGGGGCCCAACCCCCGGACUGCUUUGGAAACUGUAUGGCUGGAGUGCAGGAGAGGUAAGUGGAAUGCCUAGUGCAGCGGUGAAAUGCGUAGAUAUUAGGAGGAACACCAGUGGCGAAGGCGGCUUACUGGACUGUAACUGACGUUGAGGCUCGAAAGCGUGGGGAGCAAACAGGAUUAGAUACCCGAGUAGUC
rnacentral:rRNA from 1 species